UAUUAAAAAUUUCAUCCAUUUCUACUGUUAAAAAUAAACAUGGCUGAUGGAAUAACCAAAUAGUUACAUGUAGCGUGCGUGUAAAAUAGAUGAAGAAACAAGUUUUUAACAAUAAAAAUGGAUGAAAUUUGUAACA
rfam:Gossypium hirsutum cultivar TM-1 unplaced genomic scaffold scaffold2101.1, whole genome shotgun sequence